UGCCUCCACAGAGUCUGUUUUUGUUAUUCACAGAAUAUGGUCGGUUCCCUCUUUUGUGUCUUCCCAGGAACGGUCUUUCAUAGAGCCUGCACGAUCGACAUCUGCGACCGGUCGACACGCACCUGUGAAGCUCCUUCCCACCAGUCGACUUUUUUGGGACGCAGCUCAAAACGCCCAAACACUCUCAUAUAAAGUUAAAUCUUCCCAGACCCCUAUAGCGCACUAGUAGAGUUCUCGAAAGCCGACAUCCUCUUGGGAAAGAGAGUCACACUUUGCGUGAAAUUGCAGAGAGCCUCUCGCUCUCUCCCUGCCGGAGACGCGGGUCAUCACCCGGUAUUUUUUCCAGCCCCCUCCACCGAGGUCAGCCCAGCCUCGGGUGGGGGCGCCGGAAAAAAUCCCCGGGAAUCUCCCCCGUCUCGGGGAGUGUUAUAGCCAGAGGCGCCAUGCAGCCCGCCCGGACCGAGGCCCGCGCUUCGGCUAGGAUGCUGGCGUAAUGGUUGUAAGCGACCCGUCUUGAAACACGGACCAAGGAGUCUAACAUCUAUGCGAGUGUUUGGGCGUCAAACCCAUGCGCGUAAUGAAAGUGAACGGAGGUGGGAACCCUCAAGGGUGCACCAUCGACCGAUCCUGAUGUCUUCGGAUGGAUUUGAGUAAGAGCAUAGCUGUUGGGACCCGAAGCUAUGCCUGAAUAGGGUGAAGCCAGAGGAAACGCAGCGGUUCUGACGUGCAAAUCGAUCGUCAA
rnacentral:rRNA from 1 species